GACGAACGCUGGCGGCGUGCUUAACACAUGCAAGUCGAACGGAAAGGCCCUGCUUUUGUGGGGUGCUCGAGUGGCGAACGGGUGAGUAACACGUGAGUAACCUGCCCUUUACUUUGGGAUAACUUCAGGAAACUGGGGCUAAUACCGCAUAGGAGCUCCUGCUGCAUGGUGUUGGUUGGAAAGUUUCGGCGGUUGGGGAUGGACUCGCGGCUUAUGAGCUUGUUGGUGAGGUAGUGGCUUACCAAGGCUUUGACGGGUAGCCGGACUGAGAGGGUGACCGGCCACAUUGGGACUGAGAUGGGGCCCAGAGUCAAACGGGAGGAAGCAGUGGGAAAUAUUGCAAAAUGGGCGGAAGCCGGAUGCAACAACGCCGGGUGCGGGAUGACGGCCUUCGGGUUGUAACCCGCUUUAGCCUGUGACGAAGAGUGAGUGACGGUAAUGUGUAAAGAAGCAACGGCUAACUACGUG
rnacentral:rRNA from 1 species